GGCUCAAGAUGAACGCUGGCGGCGUGCCUAACACAUGCAAGUCGAACGGGGACAGACGGAAACCUAGUGAAGUCUGUCCGAGUGGCGGACGGGUGAGUAACGCGUGGAUAACCUGCCGCAUGCAGGGGGAUACCGGCUGGAAACAGCCGCUAAUACCGCAUAAGCGCACGGUGCCGCAUGGCAGAGUGCGAAAAGGAGAAAUCCGGCAAGCGAUGGAUCCGCGUCCGAUUAGCCAGUUGGCGGGGUAAGGGCCCACCAAAGCGACGAUCGGUAGCCGGCCUGAGAGGGCGGACGGCCACAUUGGGACUGAGACACGGCCCAGACUCCUACGGGAGGCAGCAGUGGGGGAUAUUGCACAAUGGGGGAAACCCUGAUGCAGCGACGCCGCGUGGGUGAAGAAGUAUUUCGGUAUGUAAAGCCCUAUCAGCAGGGAAGAAAGAAGACGGUACCUGACUAAGAAGCCCCGGCUAACUACGUGCCAGCAGCCGCGGUAAUACGUANGGGGCGAGCGUUAUCCGGAUUCACUGGGUGUAAAGGGAGCGUANACGGCCGUGNCAGCCAGGAGUGAAAGCCCGGGGCCCAACCCCGGGACUGCUCUUGGAACUGUGCGGCUGGANUGCGGGAGGGGCAAGCGGAAUUCCUGGUGUAGCGGUGAAAUGCGUANAUAUCAGGAGGAAACACCGGCNGCGAAGG
rnacentral:rRNA from 1 species